rnacentral:rRNA from 1 species
CUGGUUGAUCCUGCCAGCGGCCACCGCUAUUGGGUUUCGCUUAAGCCAUGCGAGUCGAGAGGGUUCGGCCCUCGGCAGACUGCUCAGUAACACGUGGAGAACUUGCCCUAGGCUGGAGGAUAACGUCGGGAAACUGACGACAAUACUCCAUAGCCCAUUCUUCCUGGAACGGUGGAUGGGUGAAAGCUCCGGCGGCCUAGGAUAGCUCUGCGGCCUAUCAGGUUGUAGCGAGGGUAACGUCCUCGCUAGCCUACGACGGGUAUGGGUGUUGGGAGACAUCGCCCAGAGAUGGAUUCUGAGACACGAAUCCAGGCCCUACGGGGCGCAGCAGGCGCGAAAACUGCACAAUGUGGGAAACCACGAUGCGGGAAACCCAAGUGCCAGCGCUAUGCGUUGGCUGUCCUCCAGUGUUCGUAACUGGGGAAGAAAGUGCUGGGUAAGACGGGUGCCAGCCGCCGCGGUAAUACCCGCAGCACAAGUGGUGGUCAUUAUUAUUGGGCCUAAAGCGUCCGUAGCUGGCCUGUUAGAUGCCUGGGUAAAUCGAUGCGCUCAACGUAUCGAACUCCGGGUAGACCGGCAGGCUUGGGACCGGGAGAGAUGUGAGCUACUCGAGGGGUAGGGGUAAAAUCCUGUAAUCCUUCGGGGAGGACCAGUGGCGAAGGCGUCACAUUAGAACGGCUCCGACAGUGAGGGACGAAGCCCUGGGGCGCAAACCGGAUUAGAUACCCGGGUAGUCCAGGGUGUAAACGCUGCAGACUUGGUGUCGGUGAUCCUACGAGGGUUGCCGGUGCCGUAGAGAAGUUGCUUAGUCUGCCGCCUGGGGAGUACGGUCGCAAGGCUGAAACUUAAAGGAAUUGGCGGGGGAGCACCGCAACGCGUGGAGUGUGCGGUUUAAUUGGAUUCAACGCCGGA